GAUGAAGAACGUAGCGAAAUGCGAAAAGUAAUGUGAAUUGCAGAAUUCAGUGAACCAUCGAAUCUUUGAACGCACAUUGCGCCCGCUGGAACUCCGGCGGGCACGCCUGUCCGAGCGUCAUUUCAACCCUCAGGCCCCCCUUCGCGGGCGGGCCUGGAGUUGGGGCCCGGCCGCUACCCUGCGGCCGUCCCCUAAAUCCAGUGGCGGCCUCGCCGUGAUCCCUUGCGUAGUAAUGCACCUCGCACCGGAGAGCGCCGUGGCCACGCCGUAAAACCCCCAAUUUUCAAUGGUUGACCUCGGAUCAGGUGGGAAUACCCGCUGAACUUAAGCAUAUCAAUAAGCGGAGGA
rnacentral:misc_RNA from 1 species